GCUAGGCAUGAUGGCACAUGCCUGUAAUCACAGUCACUGGUGGGGGCUGAGGCAGGAUGAUUGCAAGUUUGAGGCUAGCCUCAGCAACUUAGUGAGGCCCUAAGCAACUUAUUAAGACCCUGUCUCAA
rnacentral:sRNA from 1 species